GAUGAACGCUGGCGGCGUGCCUAAUACAUGCAAGUCGAGCGACCAGACGAUGAGCUUGCUCCUCUGACGUUAGCGGCUGACGGGUGAGUAACACGUGGAUAACCUACCUCUAAGACUGGGAUAACUUCGUGAAACCGGUUCCACUACCGGCUAAUACAAUCUACCGCUGGGUUCAAUAGUGAAUGACGCCUUUGCCGUUACUUUUAGACGGUGCCGCGCCGGAUUAGCUAGUUGGUAAGGUAACGGCCUACCAAGGCGACGAUGCGUAGCCGACCUGAGAGGGUGAUCGGCCACACUGGAACUGAGACACGGUCCAGACUCCUACGGGAGGCAGCAGUAGGGAAUCUUCGGCAAUGGGCGAAAGCCUGAUGCAGCCACGCCGCGUGAGUGAUGAAGGUCUUCGGAUCGUAAAGCUCUGUUGUUGGGAAAGAACAGAUGUGGAAGUAACUCUGCCCGUCUUGACGGUACCUAAACAGAAAGCAACGGCUAACUACGUG
rnacentral:rRNA from 1 species